rnacentral:rRNA from 1 species
AUGCCAUGGCUGUCACUCACUCGUCACCGGAUCCGGCGUGUGAAUCAGCUUCCCCACGGUAAACCCGCCGUCGACGACGAGGUUGUGCCCGUUGACAUACCUGGCCUCGUCGGACGCCAGGUACAGGGCCGCCCGCGCGAUGUCCUCCACCUCCAGCACCAUCCCACCCAUCUCGUUCAUGCCCGACUCCACCAUUCGCCUCAGCUCCUCCUCGCUCGCCUCCGGGAGCAGCUCCGCCAGCCCGCGCAGCCCGAACGGCGUCGCGAUGCCAUGCGGCGAGAUGGCGUUCACGCGCAAGCCGUGCCUCCCCAGCUCCCCGGCCAACGCCCGGACGGCGCCGAUCACGGCCGCCUUGGAGAUGCAGUACGCGGGGUUCACGCCGCCGAGCACCCCCGCCGUGCUCGCCGUGCAGAUGAUGCACCCGCUCCGGCGCGGCACCAUCACGCGCGCAGCGUGCUUGAUCCCGGCGACGGCAGACCGCGCGUUGGCUGCCAUGGUGCGGUCGAAGUCGGCGAGGUCGAGGGACGCGAUGGAGUCCAUGCUCAUCUUCCCCGCGAUCCCGGCGUGGUUGUGCAGGACGUCGAGCCGGCCGUGGCGCGCCACCGCGAGGUCGACGGCCGCGGCGAUCUGCGCCUCGUCGGUCACGUCGCAGCGGGCGUAGGAGGCGUCGGGGCCGAGCUCGGCGGCGACUGCGCGGCCGAGGUCGUCCUGGAUGUCGGUGAGGAUGACCUUGGCGCCGUUCCUGACGAACUCCGCGGCGGUCGCCUUGCCCAUGCCGCUGGCGGCCCCGGUGAUGACGGACACCUUCCCGGCCAGCCUGCCCCGCAGCAAACACACUUAAGUGCGGCCUCUAGCCAUGGGCGACGCCACGGCAUGGCACAAACGAGAACCAAGAAGAGAAAACAAAGAUUCCACGGCAUGGCAGGCAUGGCAUGCACCUCUGGGAACUCGGGGCCGUGGAGAAGCGAGCGAGGCCGACGCCGGACGGGAUCGCCGCCGGGGCAGCGCUCAUCUUACCCCUGCAUUCCCAACCACAUCAGUUCGGGAGGCACGAAAGCUCUGGUGUUCUUCCAAGAGGCAGAGAUUCAGUAUGCAGUUUAUUUGCAAAAAUACUAUUACCUCAGAAGAAGGUGGUGCGCCAUUGCUCUAAACAUCUUGAGUAGAUUAUUCUAG